AACGAACGCUGGCGGCAUGCCUAACACAUGCAAGUCGAACGGGACCUCAGGAACAGCUGGCUCACGGGUGCGUCACGUGUGGGACCGUGCCGUAAGAUUCGGAAAACUACUCCGAAGGGGGUGCUAACGCAGGGAAAUGUCUUCGGACAACACAUUCAUCCCCUUUGUAAGAGCAGGCGUUGUAUUGACCAGUGGGUAGGGAAAAAGCCUACCAAGGAUUAGCUCCAUAGCUGGUUUGAGAGGAUGCGCAGCCACACUGGGACUGGGACCCGGCCCGGACUCCUGCGGGAGGCAGCAGUGGCGAAUAUUGGACUAUGGGCGAAAGGCUGAACCAGCUAGGCCGCUUGAGUGAUGAAGUCCUUAGGGUAGUGAAGCUCUUUUACCCGGGAUGGUAAUGACAGUACCGAGAGAAUAAGCACCGGCUAACUCCGUG
rnacentral:rRNA from 1 species